rnacentral:lncRNA from 1 species
CCCACCCUCCCACUGCAGCUGGCAUCUGUGUUGCACUGCAGCUGAUUUGUACUGCAGGCUGAGACAUGAGACGGCAACUUUGUGUCCCAUUACAGGCAGUUAAAUGCCGCUGAAACGAAGGACUGAACAAAGGGCUGCAGGAAUAAAGGACUGAAGGAUUGUCUGUUAAACUGUAUUGGACUGAUAAUGUAGAGCCUAUGCAGGUAUAAAAUUAUCCAGAAUUAUCAACGGAGCAGAAACCAGAUCACAUCUGAGCAACAGAUCAUUUGGCAGAGAAAUAUAAAUUACGAGUUUUAGCACAAUUUUGUGCAUAUCUACACACAGGUAAGUCUCACUAAGUUUAACAGGGUUUAUUCUGUGGCAAGUGAGUCCAAAGAAUUGGAGCCUUAAAAAUGUCAUCUGAUUGGGUUGGUGGGGAAGGAAUUUUUCCCACUCUCACUUCUUACC